AAACAGUGACGUCUCACUUCCUUAUACUUCUCAGCCAGCGAUCGUCUCCUACUAUUGCCUGUCCGGUCCCGGGAUACACCGAACAUCAUCCCCACCGCUGAUUUCUCGCUGAUAAGAAGGUUAACGAUGGACCGUUUUGUCUUUUUCCUCUUAUGGCCUUUCAUAUCUCUGGCAAACUUCGGAAAACGGCUGGUUUCGCGGGUGCGACCAGUCAGAGAUGAGGAAAGGGCAGAUGGUGAAGAAGAAGAAGAUACUAAUGACAACUGUUGCAAAGUCUUUCUUGACAGCUUUGGCGCAGGUGUUCCUCUUGGCAGCCUCGGCCCCGGCCGUUUCCGUGUCCCAGCACAAGAUAACACUGUUUGAGCUGCGCGUUUCGUCACACCGUGUUUAUUCCUAGAGAAGUUAGAGAAGACAACAUUUGCGUCUUAUGGGCACAUUUGUGAACAUUCGCCGUUUCUUGGCACCAGCAGAACAUCACAUCUGUAAUAUUUAAUAAGCUUCGUAAAAAUUACCAGGAUGUUGUUUUUCAUGCAUUGCCUUUCUAUGCUGCAAUACUGAAGUUUAGCAAUAUAGUCUCACCUUGGAGAUACAUUUAAUCUUUAGAUUGCCUUAAAGAAAAAACAACUUGUAGUUGCUAAUAGAUAUAUUUAUAUAUAUAUAUAUAUAUUCAAAAUGUUAAAGCUGUAAGACUUCGUAAAAGAAGACAAGGUGUCUCCAAACUCAUAAUUAGAGCUGGAAAGCGUAGAAAGACGAUUGUAUGAAUGUUGGUAGAGGAGAUGUCAGACAGCUUAAACCACCUCCAGUAGCUGGCUUAGCGGAUUUCCCGAUCAAAUCUCUGGAGGAUCAUAUAUGAUAAUAUCAGAGAUAUGGAGAUGGUCUUCUUAGUUCGUUUAACCACUUCAGAUCCGCGCUAUAGCCGAAAGACAGCGCGGACCUGAAUUGCCGGGAAGGCGUCCAUGGACG